rnacentral:rRNA from 1 species
CAAGUCGAGCGAUGAAGUUUCUUCGGAAAUGGAUUAGCGGCGAACGGGUGAGGAACACGUGAAGAAUCUGCCCUCCACUUUGGGAUAACACCGGGAAACCGGUGCUAAUACUGAAUAUUGAAACAUAAGUGGCAUCACUGAGUUUUGAAAGAAUUUCGGUGGAGGAUGACUUCGCGGCCUAUCAGCUAGUUGGUGAGGUAAUGGCUCACCAAGGCAACGACGGGUAGCCGGCCUGAGAGGGCGACCGGCCACACUGGGACUGAGACACGGCCCAGACUCCUACGGGAGGCAGCAGUGGGGAAUAUUGGGCAAUGGAGGAAACUCUGACCCAGCGACGCCGCGUGCGGGAUGAAGGCCUUCGGGUUGUAAACCGCUUUCAGUAGGGAAGAAGCGAAAGUGACGGUACCUACAAAAGAAGCACCGGCUAACUAUGUGCCAGCAGCCGCGGUAAUACAUAGGGUGCAAGCGUUGUCCGGAAUUAUUGGGCGUAAAGAGCUCGUAGGUCGUUUGUUACGUCGGAUGUGAAAACCUGAGGCUCAACCUCAGGCCUGCAUUCGAUACGGGCAAACUAGAGUUUGGUAGGGGAGACUGGAAUUCCUGGUGUAGCGGUGGAAUGCGCAGAUAUCAGGAGGAACACCAAUGGCGAAGGCAGGUCUCUGGGCCAAUACUGACACUGAGGAGCGAAAGUCUGGGGAGCGAACAGGAUUAGAUACCCUGGUAGUCCAGACCGUAAACGGUGGGCACUAGUUGUGGGAACCUUCCACGGUUUCUGCGACGCAGCUAACGCAUUAAGUGCCCCGCCUGGGGAGUACGAUCGCAAGAUUAAAACUCAAAGGAAUUGACGG